UACAGAGGGAGCAAGCGUUGUUCGGAAUUACUGGGCGUAAAGGGCGCGCAGGCGGGCUUGUAAGUCAGGCGUGAAAACUAUCGGCUCAACUGAUAGAUUGCGUUUGAGACUGCAGGUCUUGAGUACGGGAGAGGAAGGUGGAACUCCGCGUGUAGCGGUGAAAUGCGUAGAUAUGCGUAGGAACACCAGUGGCGAAGGCGGCCUUCUAGCCCGAUACUGACGCUGAGGCGCGAAAGCGUGGGGAGCAAACAGG
rnacentral:rRNA from 1 species